rnacentral:misc_RNA from 1 species
UGUGGGAGCGGGCUUGCUCGCGAUGGCGGUGUAUCAGUCAGCCUAUCCAUUGGCUGAUACACCGCCAUCGCGAGCAAGCCCGCUCCCACA